AUGCGAUUACUGGGACAGCAACACCGACAUGGCCGGCCCUGGUUGUGUCUGGGAGACUUCAACGAGAUCUUGACCGGGGAUGAGAAGAUUGGAGGUGCAGCAAGGGCGCAACGGUUUAUGGACAAUUUCAGAGAGGCACUUCAGGCUUGCGAGCUUAGCGACCUAGGUCUUGAGGGCGAUAAAUUCACUUGGAUAAAUCAUAAUAUUUGUGAAUGCCUCGACCGAGCUACGGCCAAUGCUACGUGGUGUGAGUGGUUCCCUGAGUUCACCGUGGUGAAUGGUGCUCCUCGACACUCUGAUCAUAGGCCAGUUAUU
rnacentral:rRNA from 1 species